rnacentral:rRNA from 1 species
UACAGAGGUCUCAAGCGUUGUUCGGAUUCAUUGGGCGUAAAGGGUGCGUAGGCGGCGCGGUAAGUCGGGUGUGAAAUCUCGGAGCUUAACUCCGAAACUGCAUUCGAUACUGCCGUGCUUGAGGACUGGAGAGGAGACUGGAAUUUACGGUGUAGCGGUGAAAUGCGUAGAUAUCUGGAGGAACACCGGUGGCGAAGGCGGCAUCCUGGACCACGACUGACGCUGAGGAGCGAAAGCCAGGGGAGCAAACGGG